UAGAAGAUGGUGUAAAGGAAGCACUAGGAGUUUUGAUCUCCUGAGUUUGGGUUCGAAUCCCUUUUUUCUAA
rnacentral:tRNA from 1 species